AUUGAACGCUGGCGGCAGGCUUAACACAUGCAAGUCGAGCGAGCGGCGGACGGGUGAGUAAUGUCUGGGAAACUGCCUGAUGGAGGGGGAUAACUACUGGAAACGGUAGCUAAUACCGCAUACCAUCAGAUGUGCCCAGAUGGGAUUAGCGAGUAGGUGGGGUAAUGGCUCACCUAGGCGACGAUCCCUAGCUGGGCUGAGAGGAUGACCAGCCACAAUGGGACUGAGGCAAGGUCCAGACUCCUACGGGAGUGAGCAGUGGGGAAUAUUGCGCAAUGGGCGCAAGCCGGGUGCAGCCAUGCCGGGGGUGUGAAGAAGGCCUUCGGGGUGUAAAGCACUUUCAGCGAGGAGGCGUUACUCGCAGAAGAAGCACCGGCUAACUCCGUGCCAGCAGGCGCGGUAAUUC
rnacentral:rRNA from 1 species